rnacentral:misc_RNA from 1 species
GAUGAAGAACGUAGUGAAAUGCGAUAAGUAAUGUGAAUUGCAGAAUUCAGUGAAUCAUCGAAUCUUUGAACGCACCUUGCGCCCUUUGGCCAUUCCGAAGGGCAUGCCUGUUUGAGUAUCAUGAACACCUCAACUCCUCAUGGUCUUCUAUGAUGAGCUUGGACUUUGGGGGCUUGCUGGCCCAUUUGGUCAGCUCCUCUCAAAUGAAUCAGCCUACCAGUGUUUGGUGGCACCACAGGUGUGAUAACAAUCUACGCUUGAGGUUUUCCACCAGGCAACCUUCAGUAAUUGGGGUUCACUGGGGCUCACAAAUGUCUUUCUUCAGUGAGGGCAGCUCUUUGAAUGUUUGAUCUCAAAUCAGGUUGGACUACCCGCUGAACUUAAGCAUAUCAAUAAGCGGAGGA